UCACCUCCUGUGCAUGACGUGCCGUGGUAUGGAAUAACCUCUUUGGUCAAUUUGGGUCAGGUGUCCUGUCUCUGCUUCCUCCCAGCUUCCCCUCCUCCCUGGCAGAGCAUGAGACUCAGAAAGUCCUUGGUCAGAAGUAAACAUGACUUAGUAACAACUAAAAACAUUGGUGUUAUCAGUGUUGUUCCUAGACUGAAAGUCAAAACCACAGUAGUGCACCAGCUACUAAGAAGGAGAAAAAUGACUGCUGCUGCUGAACCCAGGACAGUACCCACCCCUUAUUCCAUACCAUUCACAUCAUACUUAGAUCCCACAUUUUUC